GGGGGUAUAGCUCAGUGGUCAGUGGUUGAGCAUUCGACUGCUAAUCGAGAGGUCCCCGAUUCAAACCAGACCAGGAUGCCCCCU